UACGAAGGGUGCAAGCGUUACUCGGAAUUACUGGGCGUAAAGGGUGCGUAGGUGGUUGUUUAAGUCUGCUGUGAAAGCCCCGGGCUCAACCUGGGAAUGGCAGUGGAUACUGGACAGCUAGAGUGCGGUAGAGGGUAGUGGAAUUCCCGGUGUAGUGGUGGAAUGCGUAGAUAUCGGGAGGAACACCAGUGGCGAAGGCGGUUGCCUGGGGCUUUGCUGACGCUGAUGCGCGAAAGCGUGGGGAGCAAACAGG
rnacentral:rRNA from 1 species